AAUGUGCCGCCCCCGCCGCCGCUGUUGGCACUACCAGGACUGCUGCUGUUGCUGCUUCUGGCGACGGCAGCAGGAGCAGGCGCCGCGGCCGUCGCCGCCAUUGUCUGUCGCUCCCGGCCGCCGUCUCUCCCACCCUCGGAGUGGGCAAGAAUGAUAAUGCUGGCGGAAUCAAAGCUGCCCAACAGGAUCCUCCCCCUCUUCAUUUAAUCCUCACAACAACCAUGCAAGGUAGGUUAAGCUGAGACUGACCUAAAGAAAUCCAAUAAGAUUCAUGGCCAAAUAGGGAUAGAACCCAGACCUACUGAGUCCCAGUUCAACAUGCUAAACAUGCUGACUCUAGUUGAAUGGAUUUCUGAAAUACAAAAUAAGCAAAUAGUUUUGAAGGGUUUUUUUUCCAGUAAGGUAUGUGCGAUUUACAAUUUACUUAUCUGCCAUUGGGAAAGCAUACUUUGGGGGUUUCCUUCAAACAUGUCUUGAGAACCAUCAGAACCCUUCCAAGAUCAAUUUCUGUUCUAGUCUGUAACAACAGAGCAUAUAUCUUGCAUGCAGGAAGCUAGAAAGACGAGUGAUCUGACUCAGAAAAAGGUAGUUUCAUGUUUUGUUAGUCCCAGUAUAUUUCAGAAGCAGAAAUUACUUACAGAAAGCGUGCAUUGCUUCAUGCAAGGUUUUAACCCAUGAGGAUUAGUGACACAUUCCAGUGAAGCUGGGCAAUACCCAUGCUACUUUUAUAACUAUGGGCCUUUGAAAUACAUAGCUAUCACACUUUCAACAGCAGUAUUAAUGACAAACAUGACUAUUCAUUUCCGUACAAGAGAAUUGUGCUUUUUAUCGUAUCAUAGAAACACAAAAUUGGUCUCACUUGUCUCGUGUGAAAACCAACCAAGCUCCUGUUUCUGAUAGUUUAAGAGCGGUUGUUGAGAACUGCAGGCAAGCUGCCACGUGUGUGGUAACUGUUUUUCAAACAUUCCUGCUUGCCUCUCUGCAGCCUCCCACACCCUCCAGCUUUUAACUGUAUACUUUAAUGGAAUACCUCCAUCCUUUUACAGUGUAAAGCUCUGCAAUUACCAUGUGUCCCACGUAUGUAAGAUGAACAUGCCAAGGAUGAGAAUUCCAUUAACUUUGCCAAGUUUUUAUAAACAUAGAGCUUUGAAGAUCAGCAGUGCACAAAACAUGAUUAGUAUGUUGCUUGGACUUCCCCUCUUAUUUUCUGUCUACACUGUAUGAUGUCAAAAUUGUAUGACAGAUUCAGUGCAUGGGAGAAGAGGUGGCAAAAAGAAUAUUUACUGGUCUUGCACUGCUUCAGUCACUCAUUCUUACCUUGCACUUAACAAUUGUCAGCACCUAAAAUGCAUUUUUAACUAGAAUGUGCAUGUUUUCCUCAUUCACAUGUCACCAUUGCCAGGCCCUGUGAACAAUUCAUUUCUCCAAAAUGUUUCUGUUGCCAUCACAACAAUCCAGUGUUUGGGCAGGUAUCUGUGUAAAGCUGUGAUGCCUUCUGAAUACAAAACAUGAGCCUUUGCCAUUGUUGAUCACACCUCUAAGUCUUUUUAAGCUGCCAUCAUUUCCCCUUUUGAACUAAACAUUUCAUUUAUUAAAUAUUCUAAUUGCCAUCAUAACAUGACUCAGAAAAUGGCAUUACAGUUUUAAUCUACUGUAGCUUUACCAUGUUCGUGGUCUUAGGAGUAGGAAAAUUCUCUGGGCCAGCUGACAUGCUUGACAUAGUUUGCUUACAUGAAGGUCUAAGAAGCUUAAAAAGAACAAUGAUUAAAAUUUAAUGUCAAAACCUAAAGUGAGGCAACACACUAAGCUGCCUUCUAAAAUCUUACCACACUAGGGAGUCUGCAGCUUGAUUACAAAGGUAUUGAACAGGAUCGGGAAAGAGCUUCACUUUACAUUGAAACUGCAAGACCCCACAAGUGAAAUGACUCCAUGGAUGGCGGACUUUGUUAAUUGUAGCUCAGUGCUCAAGAGCAUUGUCCUCAUGCUCUUCUUCUGCAGUGUUCAGUCUCUGUCAUCACCACCUGGAACUAGGAAAGAUUUGUGUCUGUCCUGUGAAAGCUGAGGCAGGGGGACCCAAGAGAGGUUCACCUGGCACCCUCUUUAUCCUCUUUCCAAUGCCAGGUGAAGACCUUUUUAUUUUCUCCAUAUUUUAAUUGCAAGUAUGAUUUUGAUGAUUUUAACACCUUACAAUUGGUUAUAAUCUGCUGUUGUGCCUUUACCAUUGUCCUUGGAUGAAUUAUGGCUAUGUGAAGUUUCAUAAUGGUGUGGCUUUGCUUAUUGGAUUGUUAUUUUAAUUGCCAUUUUUAAUUGUACUUUUAUUGUAUUUUUUAAACUCUGUAAUCUGCCCAGGGAGUCUUAUGGCUAAUGGGUCAGGAUAAAAAUCUAAUAAAUAAAUUAUAAGUAAUUAUGUCAUUGGGCAUCCAUUCAGCAGAGAGAGACAAUUGUUUCAAGCAACAUGACCUGAAAUAUUUUUAUGACUGGUAUAAUCAUAAUCAAGUAAUGAGAAAAUAAAACAUCAUAAAUCACAUUAUAAUGAUCCUCAUAUUACAUUUAUAUCCCACCUUUUUACCUCUUGCUAGCAAGUUAUAUACUCUUCCUCUCCUUUUUAUCCUCACAACAAAAGGUAGGUUUGGCUGAGAGUGACUGACCCAGUCAUACAGUGAGAAGUGGGGAAAUCUCCUGGCAUUACUGUGCCAGCCAGCAUGCUACAAGUUGUAGAACAUUUUUCUGUCUAAGGAUGGAUUAGAUUUUGCCCUUAGCUAGUUAAAAAUACUCAUGUUCAGUAAAGAGAGUUUGCUGUUGAACUGAGAAUAAGAGAAACAAAACUGUCAAAUUGGUGGGUUAAUGACUUCUCAAUUUCUACUCUCAUAGAGCCAGAAUGUGGGCUGACUUUAAGAUGCGAUCCUAUACCCAACCUUACCUGAGAGUAAAUGGGCUUCUAUAGAAUUACCUUGUUAUAUGAUCUUGUGUUCUGUUAACUAAAUAGCUCAAGAACCCUCACUAAUUAAGUCAUAAUUAUCUCCUUAAGUCUUAAUUAUGCCUUAAGUGCUCUUUUGUUUAUGAACAUAAAAUGCUUUACUGGAUCAGAUAAAAGUCUUCUCUACCCCAGCAUUCUUUGCUAAAAUCACAGACACUGGUUGAGCAGAAUUUCAGCAGUAUUAGCAGUUAAUAACUUUCCAACCUUGGCAGAGAGGUAUGUAAAAUUUCACAGAGAUUGAAGUUUUCUGAGCCUUACAUUGGUUUGCAAUUCCCUAACAAUAAAUGGUCUUUUUUACGUGUGAAAUUUUAAUGAAACAAAUACCUGAAAUUUAAAUGAUUACCCACCUUCAGUGCACAGUCAGAAAUGUUGCGAUGCUAUCAAAGCACACCUAGGUGAUUUAUUAUUCACCUUGUAUGAAUUAUACCAUGUCCAAGCAACCUGUUGUAUCCCCCAAAUCUUACAUAAAUAAAUGAUGAAAUCUGGAACGAAAA